rnacentral:rRNA from 1 species
UACGAACCGUGCGACCGUUGUUCGGAAUCACUGGGCGUAAAGGGCUCGUAGGCGGCCAACUAAGUCAGACGUGAAACCCCUCAGCUUAACUGGGGAACUGCGUCUGAUACUGGAUGGCUUGGAUUCGGGAGAGGAAUGCGGAAUUCCAGGUGUAGCGGUGAAAUGCGUAGAUAUCUGGAGGAACACCGGUGGCGAAGGCGGCAUUCUGGACCGAUAUUGCCGCUGAGGAGCGAAAGCCAGGGGAGCAAACGGG